rnacentral:rRNA from 1 species
UACAGAGGGCGCGAGCGUUGUUCGGAUUUACUGGGCGUAAAGGGCGCGUAGGCGGCCAGCACAAGUCAGUUGUGAAAUCUCCGAGCUUAACUCGGAAAGGUCAACUGAUACUGUGCGGCUAGAGUGCGGAGGGGGCAACUGGAAUUCUUGGUGUAGCGGUGAAAUGCGUAGAUAUCAAGAGGAACACCUGCGGCGAAGGCGGGUUGCUGGGCCGACACUGACGCUGAGGCGCGAAAGCCAGGGGAGCGAACGGG